AAAGUACAGUUACUGCAGAUAACAGCUCAGUUACAGUCUCUGUCACUCAACAGCAUAUAUUUCAGCCCAUCAAUAACGUUAAUAACAAACGACACGCUGUGAAGUCAAGCAUCAAGCAUGUCACUCUGGUCACCUAAUAAAGGGUGUUUGGUCCAGCAGAAGCAUGUGGUCAGACAUUGACUGUAAUGAUGGACAUCUGCUGAGUGACAGAAUUAAUUUAGAACACUUUAUAGUGUGAUUUCUGGACCAACACAAGAUCCAUUUCCCCAUUCUCUGUUGAUUCUGUCACUGCUGAUACACAAAUCAUCCACCAGUGGGCACAACAUUGACACAUUGAUCAGGCUUUCAUCAUUAAAUCUUUAUUCAAAUGAGAUGUUUGUCUGUAGAUUGAUGUGUAGACGAUGUGAUGACCAAUCCUGAGCUUCACAUCCUCCUCAUCUGAGACACAGAGAAAGAUUCAGUCAAACCUGUUACUGGAAGAGAAGAAUAAGUCAAACAGUGUUGUGUUUUCAAAACGAUUAACAAGUUAAACAUGUCUAAUAUAAUAUGAUACAGGGUCAGUAUGAAAAGGGUGUGUGUAUG